GAACGGCUCUGACCUGUAUGGUGAUCAGCACUGGAGAGGAGAGACACCUGUCCAACAAGGUGACAGACGAGCAGCUGAGACGAAUAAGACGAGCCGCCACAGAACCUGAAGCAGGAAAACUGAGUAUCCAUCUUCUGAUGAAACUCCUUCAGGUCCUGCAGUUGUUUGUUGACUCUGGUUUCACCUGCUCAGACAGUGAGCACUGUUGUCUUUGCUGGUUAUUUACAUAAUAAAACCUUUUUUUGAAAUACA